UACGGGGGGGCAAGCGUUGUUCGGAAUUACUGGGCGUAAAGGGCUCGUAGGCGGCCAACUAAGUCAGACGUGAAAUCCCUCGGCUUAACCGGGGAACUGCGUCUGAUACUGGAUGGCUUGAGUUUGGGAGAGGGAUGCGGAAUUCCAGGUGUAGCGGUGAAAUGCGUCGAUAUCAGGAAGAACACCAAUGGCGAAAGCAGCUUCUGGGACGGUACUGACGCUGAGACGCGAAAGCGUGGGGAGCGAACAGG
rnacentral:rRNA from 1 species